rnacentral:rRNA from 1 species
GACGAACGCUGGCGGCGUGCUUAACACAUGCAAGUCGAACGGAAAGGCCCUGCUUUUGUGGGGUGCUCGAGUGGCGAACGGGUGAGUAACACGUGAGUAACCUGCCCUUGACUUUGGGAUAACUUCAGGAAACUGGGGCUAAUAUCGGAUAGGAGCUCCUGCUGCAUGGUGGGGGUUGGAAAGAUUCGGCGGUUGGGGAUGGACUCGCGGCUUAUCAGCUUGUUGGUGGGGUAGUGGCUUACCAAGGCUUUGACGGGUAGCCGGCCUGCGAGGGUGACCGGCCACAUUGGGACUGAGAUACGGCCCAGACUCCUACGGGAGGCAGCAGUGGGGAAUAUUGCACAAUGGGCGGAAGCCUGAUGCAGCAACGCCGCGUGCGGGAUGACGGCCUUCGGGUUGUAAACCGCUUUCGCCUGUGACGAAGCGUGAGUGACGGUAAUGGGUAAAGAAGCACCGGCUAACUACGUG